rnacentral:misc_RNA from 1 species
GUGAAUCAUCAAAUCUUUGAACGCAAAUUGCACUCUCCGGUUUUCCGGGAGGGUAUGCCUUUUUGAGGGUCAUCCUAAUAAAAUUCGACAUUGUUUCUGUUGUAUUUUAACUUGGGUCGGACAUUUUUUAUGUUGAAUCUCGGUUUAAGCGACUUAAAAUUUUUUUUGAUGAUUGUAAGUUUGUUUUUAAUAUUUUUCUUGUACGUUUAAGUUA